UCCUACGGGAGGCAGCAGUGGGGAAUAUUGCACAAUGGGGGAAACCCUGAUGCAGCCAUGCCGCGUGUGUGAAGAAGGCCUUCGGGUUGUAAAGCACUUUCAGCGAGGAGGAAAGGUCAGUAGCUAAUAUCUGCUGACUGUGACGUUACUCGCAGAAGAAGCACCGGCUAACUCCGUGCCAGCAGCCGCGGUAAUACGGAGGGUGCAAGCGUUAAUCGGAAUUACUGGGCGUAAAGCGCACGCAGGCGGUUGGAUAAGUUAGAUGUGAAAGCCCCGGGCUCAACCUGGGAAUUGCAUUUAAAACUGUCCGGCUAGAGUCUUGUAGAGGGGGGUAGAAUUCCAGGUGUAGCGGUGAAAUGCGUAGAGAUCUGGAGGAAUACCGGUGGCGAAGGCGGCCCCCUGGACAAAGACUGACGCUCAGGUGCGAAAGCGUGGGGAGCAAACAGGAUUAGAUACCCCGGUAG
rnacentral:rRNA from 1 species